CAGGAUACUUCCCAACAUCUGCAGUACAACGAGUGGACUGUAGAUACCAAAGGUACAGAUCCCGACUGCAACCAUCCACCUGCACACGUCCUAGACCAGCAAGCCACUCACCUUCACUAACACUGGACCCUCAGAGGUCUCCCGCUGGGCUACGGUACUUCCUCCCUCCUCCAAGCAGGGAAACAAGACGCCCCACAGAGGCAUCAGCCACCCGC